rnacentral:rRNA from 1 species
UAGCUGGUCUGAGAGGACGACCAGCCGCACUGGGACUGAGACACUGCCCAGACUCCUACGGGAGGCUGCAGUCGAGGAUCAUUCGCAAUGGGGGGAACCCUGACGAUGCGACGCUGCGUGGAGGAUGAAGGCCCUCGGGUCGUAAACUCCUGUCACGGGGGGAGAGGCGGAGGCGGUUAACGGCCGCCCGGGUCGACGGUACCCCGAGAGGAAGCCACGGCUAACUCUGUGCCAGCAGCCGCGGUAAUACAGAGGUGGCGAGCGUUGUUCGGAUUUACUGGGCGUAAAGGGCGCGUAGGCGGCCGGUCGUGUCGGGUGUGAAAUCCAUGGGCCCAACCCAUGAAGUGCGCCCGAAACUGCCCGGCUCGAGUGCGGGAGGGGAGAUCGGAAUGCAUGGUGUAGCGGUGAAAUGCGUUGAUAUCAUGCAGAACACCGGUGGCGAAGGCGGAUCUCUGGAACGCUACUGACGCUGAGGCGCGAAAGCAGGGGGAGCAAACAGGAUUAGAUACCCUGGUAGUCCCUGCCCUAAACGGUGCACGCUUGGGGUGGGGGGAUUUCACCCCCCCCGUCCCGGAGCUAACGCGUUAAGCGUGCCGCCUGGGGAGUACGGCCGCAAGGCUAAAACUCAAAGAAAUUGACGGGGGCCCGCACAAGCAGAGGAGCAUGUGGCUUAAUUCGAUGCAACGCGAAGAACCUUACCCGGGUUUGACAUGCAGCUGCGCGUCCCGUGAAAGCGGGAUUCCUUCGAGGGUGCUGCACAGGUGCUGCAUGGCUGUCGUCAGUUCGUGCCGUGAGGUGUUUGGUUAAGUCCAGCAACGAACGCAACCCCUGUGUCCAGUUGCCAACAGGUAGUGCUGGGGACUCUGGACAGACCGCCCGUUCACGCGGGAGGAAGGUGGGGACGACGUCAAGUCAGUAUGGCCCUUACGCCCGGGGCUGCACACGUGCUACAAUGGCCGGUACAGAGGGAUGCGAGGCCGCGAGGCGGAGCCAACCCCCAAAACCGGCCCCAGUUCGGAUCGGGGUCUGCAACCCGACCCCGUGAAGUCGGAUUUGCUAGUAACGGCGCAUCAGCUACGGCGCCGUGAAUACGUUCCCGGGCCUUGUACACACCGCCCGUCACAUCAUGAAAGCCGUCUGCACCCGAAG